AAUUAUUUUUGUUCAUUUGACCAAAAAUUCACUCAAUUCUUUUUGUUUCAAAAAAAUAAUAACAUAUAUAUAUUUUAAAUAAAUUUAAAUAUUUAUUAUUUUAUAAUUAUUUUUAUAAAUUUUAACUUUUCUAAUCAAAAUAUUAUUUUAACUAAAAAUAAUUUGUUGCUUAUAUUUUUAGAUUUUUAAUAUAUUUUAAAAAAAAUUAAAAAAAAAA
rnacentral:lncRNA from 1 species